UGAGGGGCCGCAUGUCAGCUAUGGCUCUGCUGCUGUGCGGCGUUGGUGUGCUGUCAGUGAGUUUGAGCUCUCAGGCUGGUUUAACUGUAGAAGCAGAACCUGGUGAUGAUGUCACUCUCUGGUGUCAGUACAGCCUCAGUCUGUCAGGUUAUAUAUUCUGGUUCAAACAAACAAACAAUUCAGCACCAGAUCGCAUCGCAUGCAGAUAUUACUCAUCAUCGUCAUCUUCCUCUAACUCCUGUUUCUUCAUCCCUGAGAGUAACAGGUCAGUGAUGAGAGUGAACUCCACGUUCUCCUCUCUCACUAUAACUGCAGUUACUCUCUCUGACUCAGGACUCUAUUACUGCUUCAUUCAAAAGGAGCAGUUCAUGACCUUCAGCACCACAACACGUCUACAAAUCAGAGAGAGAAAUAACGUGACUUCCAAGAAAGCAGAGCAGUCUGCAGAAGCUGGCUGCACUUCUAAUGUGGUCCUCACGCUGCUGUUUGGAGCUGUGAUUGCGGUUCUGCUCAGUGCUCUUCUCAUCCUGAUCUUCAUCAGACAGACUGACCGUAAAGACCAGAGAGACGGAUCUGCGGAGCUCCCACUGCUGGAUCAGCAUCUUCAGUGGAGGAACACGACUGCAGUACAUUAUAAUCAGUUACUGUUAAACCAGAUGGACAAUUAAUAAACUAGAAC